AGCAGCCGCGGUAAUUCCAGCUCCAAUAGCGUAUAUUAAAGUUGUUGCAGUUAAAAAGCUCGUAGUUGAAUUUCGGGAUCAAUCUAUCGGUCGUGCAAUAGUACGUACUGAUUUUAUUGAUUCCUCCCUUCUGAUGAACUAUGAUGUCAUUAAUUUGGUGUCAUAGGGAAUCAGGACUGUUACUUUGAAAAAAUUAGAGUGUUUAAAGCAGGCUCACGCUUGAAUACAUUAGCAUGGAAUAACGAAAUAGGACGUUUGAUUCUAUUUUGUUGGUUUCUAGGAUCGACGUAAUGAUUAAUAGGGAUAGUUGGGGGCAUUAGUAUUCAAUUGUCAGAGGUGAAAUUCUUGGAUUUAUUGAAGACUAACUACUGCGAAAGCAUUUGCCAAGGAUGUUUUCAUUAAUCAAGAACGAAAGUUAGGGGAUCGAAGACGAUCAGAUACCGUCGUAGUCUUAACCAUAAACUAUGCCGACUAGGGAUCGGAUGAUGUUAAUUUUUUAAUGA
rnacentral:rRNA from 1 species